rnacentral:rRNA from 1 species
UACGUAGGGUGCGACGUUAAUCGGAAUUACGUGGGCGUAAAAGGAGUGCGUAGGCGGUUCGUUAAGUCAGCUGUGAAAGCCCCGGGCUCAACCUGGGAACUGCGGUUGAAACUGGCGAACUAGAAUCUGGCAGAGGGGGGUGGAAUUCCACGUGUAAGCAGUGAAAUGCGUAGAGAUGUGGAGAACACCGAUGGCGAAGGCAGCCCCUGGCUGAGAUUGACGCUCAGGCACGAAGCGUGGGAGCAAACAGGAUUGAGAGUACCCGGGAGUC